UACGUAGGUGGCGAGCGUUGUCCGGAUUUACUGGGCGUAAAGAGCGCGCAGGCGGUCGUACAAGUCGCGUGUGAAAGCCCCCGGCUCAACUGGGGAGGGUCACGCGAUACUGUUCGACUCGAAGGCAGGAGAGGGAAGCGGAAUUCCCGGUGUAGUGGUGAAAUGCGUAGAUAUCAGGAGGAACACCGGUGGCGAAAGCGGCUCUCUGGCCCGAUACUGACGCUCAUGUACGAAAGCGUGGGGAGCAAACAGG
rnacentral:rRNA from 1 species